GGGAAAUGAAGAGUGGUCGAGUCUUGCAUUUAAAAUGCGAGUUGGGUGUUCGCCCCAAGCCUGGUUACGACAAUUGGGCACUCUCCUUUAAUCAAUCUGAUCCC